UAAAAUCCAAUGCCCUCUGGGCUCAGUGGUGAAUCAUGGUAACUUCGCGAAUCGCAUGGCCUUGUGCCGGCGAUGGCUCAUUCAAAUUUCUUCCCUAUCAACUUUCGAUGUUUGGGUAGUGGCCAAACAUGGUUGCAACGGGUAACGGAGGGUUAGGGCUCGACCCCGGAGAAGGAGCCUGAGAAACGGCUACUACAUCCAAGGAAGGCAGCAGGCGCGCAAAUUACCCAAUCCCGACACGGGGAGGUAGUGACAAUAAAUACUGAUACAGGGCUCUUUUGGGUCUUGUAAUUGGAAUGAGUACAAUUUAAAUCCCUUAACGAGGAACAAUUAGAGGGCAAGUCUGGUGCCAGCAGCCGCGGUAAUUCCAGCUCUAAUAGCGUAUAUUAAAGUUGUUGUGGUUAAAAAGCUCGUAGUUGAACCUUGGGCCUGGCUGGCAGGUCCGCCUCACCGCGUGCACUUCGCCGGCCGGGCCUUUCCCUCUGUGGAACCCUAUGCCCUUCACUGGGUGUAGCGGGGAAACAGGACUUUUACUUUGAAAAAAUUAGAGUGCUCCAGGCAGGCCUAUGCUCGAAUACAUUAGCAUGGAAUAAUAAAAUAGGACGCGCGGUUCUAUUUUGUUGGUUUCUAGGACCGCCGUAAUGAUUAAUAGGGACAGUCGGGGGCAUCAGUAUUCAAUUGUCAGAGGUGAAAUUCUUGGAUUUAUUGAAGACUAACUACUGCGAAAGCAUUUGCCAAGGAUGUUUUCAUUAAUCAGGAAAGAAAGUUAGGG
rnacentral:rRNA from 1 species